rnacentral:rRNA from 1 species
UAGGGAAUCUUCGGCAAUGGACGAAAGUCUGACCGAGCAACGCCUCGUGAGUGAAGAAGGUUUUCGGAUCGUAAAACUCUGUUGUUAGAGAAGAACAAGGACGUUAGUAACUGAACGUCCCCUGCCGGUAUCUAACCAGAAAGCCACGGCUAACUACGUGCCAGCAGCCGCGGUAAUACGUAGGUGGCAAGCGUUGUCCGGAUUUAUUGGGCGUAAAGCGAGCGCAGGCGGUUUCUUAAGUCUGAUGUGAAAGCCCCCGGCUCAACCGGGGAGGGUCAUUGGAAACUGGGAGACUUGAGUGCAGAAGAGGAGAGUGGAAUUACAUGUGUAGCGGUGAAAUGCGUAGAUAUAUGGAGGAACACCAGUGGCGAAGGCGGCUCUCUGGUCUGUAACUGACGCUGAGGCUAGAAAGCGUGGGGAGCAAACAGG